GCUAUAGAUAUUUUGUCCAUUCCAAUUUUCUUUAUUGCUUUAUCCUUUUAUUGAUCUAUUGUGCAUUCUAAUUGUUAAAUAGUAGCAGUAUCCUCUAUUCUUGUGGAUGUUGAAUUAGUAAGAAAUUAUGCACUAUACUGGUGUAUAUCAUUUUCACAAGCAUGUACAACCUUUAUAGACCUUCAGAAUAAGAGAUCGGUUAAACUGAAUUCUAACAUUGUGCCUGUUUUUUCUGUUGUAGGAUACUCCAACAAGGAUGCACAUAUGAACUUUCAUGAGAACAGACAAAUUAUAACUGUAGUUACAUGAAAAGAAGAGGAUGAUUGCGUCGAAAUAUUAUAUAUAUUUCGAGAGUUCAUUGCAAUAAGCAGAGUACCGUGCCUUCAGUUAACUUAUUUGUUCAAAGGAGUGAGAGGGCAUAUACUGCAGAUUCUAAAGGUAUUUUCUACUGUUCAUUUCUUAUUUCCCACAUUAGAAUGUUUAUUCUCAGUUUUGGGAUAGUGCUCACUUGAUCAAUGCAUGUGUUUUUGUAUAUCAUUUUGCUUGAUUCCUGCCCACAACCCAUUCAUCACUAGAGCUUGUCAUGACUGCAUUGUCAUGGACCCUCACAAGGCACCGCCAAUCAAUAGUGUGUCUAGAAAAAUGAUUUGUCGGUCCAUAAAUGGAAGAAGGGUGAAUUGGAGGUUCUGCCCCGCUGGAUCAAUUUGCAAAGGGAUGUGCCUGCUAAUUGGAGAAAGGAGUUUUUCACUCUUUUAACUUAUUCCUGGUGGAGCAUUGGGAAUGAGAGGAACUGUCCUAUUUUUCAGCAAAAGAGUUUCUUGCCCACCUUGGCUGCUGUCAGGAUCAUAGAAGAGCUUGACUUACUUAGUGGAGCGCCCAGGGUUUAAUUUCUUUUCAUUGGCCGCCCUCAUUGACCCCCUUUUUUGUUGCUUGGCCUAGGCCUCAGUAAAUAACUUUGUUCUCUCUCUUCUCUAUAAAGUAUAAAGCGGUGCUCCUGUUGUUAAGGUAAAAAACAUUACAUCCAACGUAUGUUUCUUUCAGCUCAAACAUAAUUACAUCCAAAUGUUAUAUGCUUCCGAACUUGAAUUGAA